GACGAACGAGGGAGGAGGGAGGAACACAUGCAAGUCGAACGGAAAGGCCCUGCUUUUGUGGGGUGCUCGAGUGGCGAACGGGCGAGUAACACGUGAGUAACCUGCCCUUGACUUUGGGAUAACUUCAGGAAACUGGGGCUAAUACCGGAUAGGAGCUCCUGCUGCAUGGUGGGGGUUGGAAAGUUUCGGCGGUUGGGGAUGGACUCGCGGCUUAUCAGCUUGUGGGUGGGGUAGUGGCUUACCAAGGCUUUGAGUGCGCACCGGCCUGAGAGGGUGAACGGCGACAUGGCGACUGAGGUACGGACCAGACUCCAAUGUGGGGCAGUGGGGGGGAGUAUUGCCCAGUGGGCGGAAGCGUGAUGCAGCAACGCCGCGUGCGGGAUGCCGGCCUUCGGGUUGUAAACCGCUUUCGCCUGAGACGAAGCGUGAGUGACGGUAAUGGGUAAAGAAGCACCGGCUAACUACGUG
rnacentral:rRNA from 1 species